CUUUCACUAAGUGAGGUCCUUCUGUUACUAACA
rnacentral:sRNA from 1 species